AGCGGCGGACGGGGUGAGUAAACAACGUGGGUAAACCUGCCUCAUAGAGGGAAUAGCCUUCGAAAGGAAGAUUAAUACCGCAUAGGUAAUUUUGCCGCAUGGUGAAAUUAUUAAAGGAGUAAUCCGCUAUGAGAUGGACCCGCGUCGCAUUAGCUAGUUGGUGAGGUAACGGCUCACCAAGGCGACGAUGCGUAGCCGACCUGAGAGGGUGAUCGGCCACAUUGGGACUGAGACACGGCCCAGACUCCUACGGGAGGCAGCAGUGGGGAAUAUUGCACAAUGGGGGAAACCCUGAUGCAGCAACGCCGCGUGAGUGAUGACGGCCUUCGGGUUGUAAAGCUCUGUCUUUAGGGACGAUAAUGACGGUACCUAAGGAGGAAGCCACGGCUAACUACGUGC
rnacentral:rRNA from 1 species